rnacentral:rRNA from 1 species
UAGGGAAUCUUCGGCAAUGGGGGGAACCCUGACCGAGCAACGCCGCGUGAGUGAAGAAGGUUUUCGGAUCGUAAAGCUCUGUUGUUAAGGAAGAACGAGUGUGAGAAUGGAAAGUUCAUGCUGUGACGGUACUUAACGAGAAAGGGACGGCUAACUACGUGCCAGCAGCCGCGGUAAUACGUAGGUCCCGAGCGUUGUCCGGAUUUAUUGGGCGUAAAGCGAGCGCAGGCGGUUAGAAAAGUCUGAAGUGAAAGGCAGUGGCUCAACCAUUGUAGGCUUUGGAAACUGUUUAACUUGAGUGCAGAAGGGGAGAGUGGAAUUCCAUGUGUAGCGGUGAAAUGCGUAGAUAUAUGGAGGAACACCGGUGGCGAAAGCGGCUCUCUGGUCUGUAACUGACGCUGAGGCUCGAAAGCGUGGGGAGCGAACAGG